ensembl:lncRNA
AGAUUCUUUUUCCUGAGCAUGUGAUGCAAGGCUAUUGGAUUUAAUCCAGAAGCAACCUGAGCAUGUAUUACCACCAGAAGGAGACAGGAGUUGGAUGGCAAAAGCCUAAAAGGAUCCGGUUUUCUUAAGCGUAUUCACACACAUGUCUGAUUUAAUCAUCAUUUUCAUCCAACACUGCCGUUUCAACACUGCCAUUUCUCUCUAAUAUCUGAUCCAUAUAUUCUUAGUUGACAAAGUCUCUUUUUGUGUGGUAGGGAUUGCAGUUCUUUCUUCCUGAUCUUUCAUUCACUUACUUUUCUCCACAAAACAUGUUUUGUAAGAUCCCUUGACAUUUCCUUAGACUUCUGUAGCUUGUAGUUAUGAAGUGUUAAGGUACAGUUUCAUUUCAUAUUGUAGGUUUUUUUUUUUUUUACAUUUUGUAAAUUCUUUUAAUUGUUUGCAAGAUACUGAUUUGCUGUUGAGAUUAUUCAUUAGGUUAAGAGAACACAUGACUGACAGCUUUUCUAUCAAAUAAACAUGAUUAAAU